AACGUACGCUGGCGGCACGCCUAACACAUGCAAGUCGAACGCAGUAGCAAUACUGAGUGGCAGACGGGUGAGUAACAUGUGGGAAUCUGCCUUGUGGUUCAGGACAACAUUGGGAAACCGAUGCUAAUACUGGAUAAGCCCUUACGGGGAAAGUUUUAAUGCCAUAAGAUGAGCCCGCAUUUGAUUAGUUAGUUGGUGAGGUAAUGGCUCACCAAGACAAUGAUCAAUAGCUGAUCUGAGAGGAUGAUCAGCCACACUGGGACUGAGACACGGCCCAGACUCCUACGGGAGGCAGCAGCGGGGAAUCUUGCACAAUGGAGGAAACUCUGAACCAGCCAUGCCGCGUGCAGGAAGACUGCCCUAUGGGUUGUAAACUGCUUUGUACGGGAGAAAUGUUACUACGUGUAGUAACUUGACGGUACCGUAAGAAUAAGGAUCGGCUAACUUCGUG
rnacentral:rRNA from 1 species